CCUACGGGAGGCUGCAGUAGGGAAUUUUGCGCAAUGGGGGAAACCCUGACGCAGCAACGCCGCGUGAUCGAUGAAGCCCUUCGGGGUGUAAAGAUCUGUCAGUGGGGACGAAACCUGACGGUACCCACAGAGGAAGCACCGGCUAACUCCGUGCCAGCAGCCGCGGUAAUACGGGGGGUGCAAGCGUUGUCCGGAAUCAUUGGGCGUAAAGAGUUCGUAGGUGGCACGUUAAGUCUGGUGUUAAAGGCGGAAGCUCAACUUCCGUAGGGCACUGGAUACUGGCGAGCUUGAAUGCGGUAGAGGUAAAGGGAAUUCCUGGUGUAGCGGUGAGAUGCGUAGAUAUCAGGAGGAACAUCGGUGGCGUAAGCGCUUUACUGGGCCGUAACUGACGUUGAGGCUCGAAAGCGUGGGGAGCAAACAGGAUUAGAUACCCCGGUAGUC
rnacentral:rRNA from 1 species